rnacentral:rRNA from 1 species
UACGUAGGCAGCGAGCGUUGUUCGGAAUUACUGGGCGUAAAGAGUGUGUAGGCGGUGCUCUAAGUUCGGUGUGAAAGUCCAGGGCUCAACCCUGGAAUGCCGGUGGAAACUGUCGGGCUAGAGUCCGGAAGAGGCGAGUGGAAUUCCUGGUGUAGCGGUGAAAUGCGCAGAUAUCAGGAGGAACACCAAUGGCGAAGGCAGCUCGCUGGGACGGUACUGACGCUGAGACGCGAAAGCGUGGGGAGCAAACAGG